AUCCCUGGGGGAGGGUGGGGAGCCUAGCCGGGGCGCUAGGCGUGUCUUGACCAGUUGCCCCUCCCCACCUAGCAACUGAAGGGGAAGAUCCUGCUGAAGGGGAAGAAGCUCGGGGGGCUCCUGCCCCCUGCAGGGGAGGGUGGCCCUGAGGCCACUGUGGUGUCAGACGAAGACGAGGCUGCUGAGAUGGAGGAUGAGGCAGUGAGGAGCCGUGUGCAGCACAAGCCCAAGGAGGACAAGCUCAGGCUAGCACAGGAGCUCUCUGACAUGGUCAUUUACUGCAAGAGUGUCCACUUUGGGGGCUUCUCCAGUCCUGGCACCCCUGGGCAGGCCUUCUACGAGAUGGCGUCCUUCUCUGAGAACCGUGCCCUUCGACUGCUCCAAGAAUCAGGAAACGGCUUUGUCCGCCACAACGUGGGGCACCUGAGCAGAAUCUACCCGGCUGGAUGGAGAACAGACUCCUCCAACUACAGCCCCGUGGAGAUGUGGAAUGGGGGCUGCCAGAUCGUGGCCCUGAAUUUCCAGACACCUGGGCCAGAGAUGGACGUGUACCAGGGCCGCUUCCAG
rnacentral:sRNA from 1 species